rnacentral:rRNA from 1 species
GACGAACGCUGGCGGCGUGCCUAAUACAUGCAAGUCGAGCGGAACUGGGGGAGCUUGCUCCUUCCAGUUUAGCGGCGGACGGGUGAGUAACACGUGGGCAACCUGCCCUGCAGAUCGGGAUAACUCCGGGAAACCGGUGCUAAUACCGAAUAGUUUGGCGCCUCUCCUGAGGCGCCACGGAAAGACGGUUUCGGCUGUCACUGCAGGAUGGGCCCGCGGCGCAUUAGCUAGUUGGUGGGGUGACGGCCCACCAAGGCGACGAUGUGUAGCCGACCUGAGAGGGUGACCGGCCACACUGGGACUGAGACACGGCCCAGACUCCUACGGGAGGCAGCAGUAGGGAAUCUUCCGCAAUGGACGCAAGUCUGACGGAGCAACGCCGCGUGAGUGACGAAGGUUUUCGGAUCGUAAAACUCUGUUGUGAGGGAAGAACACGUACCAACUAACUAUUGGUACCUUGACGGUACCUCACCAGAAAGCCACGGCUAACUACGUGCCAGCAGCCGCAGUAA